GAUGAACGCUAGCGGCAGGCUUAAUACAUGCAAGUCGAGGGGCAGCGCAGUGUAGCAAUACAUGGGCGGCGACCGGCAAACGGGUGCGGAACACGUACGCAACCUUCCUUCAAAUGGGGAAUAGCCUUUCGAAAGAGAGAUUAAUACCCCGUAAAAUUUUCUGGUGGCAUCACCGGAUUAUUAUAGCUCCGGCGUUUGAA
rnacentral:rRNA from 1 species